rnacentral:rRNA from 1 species
GGUUAAGCGAAUAAGCGUACACGGUGGAUGCCUAGGCAGUCAGAGGCGAUGAAGGACGUGCUAAUCUGCGAUAAGCGCCGGUAAGGUGAUAUGAACCGUUAUAACCGGCGAUUUCCGAAUGGGGAAACCCAGUGCAAUUCGUUGCACUAUCAUUACCUGAAUACAUAGGGUAAUGAAGCGAACCGGGAGAACUGAAACAUCUAAGUACCCCGAGGAAAAGAAAUCAAACGAGAUUCCCCCAGUAGCGGCGAGCGAACGGGGAGCAGCCCAGGACCUUAAUCAGCAUCAGUGUUAAGAGAACAGUCUGGAAAGGCUGGCCACAGCAGGUGAUAGCCCUGUAUCUGAAAGCACUGGUGUUGUGAGUCCGAUGAGUAAGGCGGGACACGUGUUAUCCUGUCUGAAUACGGGGGGACCAUCCUCCAAGGCUAAAUACUCCUGACUGACCGAUAGUGAACCAGUACCGUGAGGGAAAGGCGAAAAGAACCCCGGCGAGGGGAGUGAAAAAGAACCUGAAACCGUGUACGUACAAGCAGUGGGAGCACCCUUCGGGGUGUGACUGCGUACCUUUUGUAUAAUGGGUCAGCGACUUAUAUUCUGUAGCAAGGUUAACCGAAUAGGGGAGCCGCAGGGAAACCGAGUCUUAACUGGGCGAAUUAGUUGCAGGGUAUAGACCCGAAACCCGGUGAUCUAGCCAUGGGCAGGUUGAAGGUUGGGUAACACUAACUGGAGGACCGAACCGACUAAUGUUGAAAAAUUAGCGGAUGACUUGUGGCUGGGGGUGAAAGGCCAAUCAAACCGGGAGAUAGCUGGUUCUCCCCGAAAGCUAUUUAGGUAGCGCCUCGUGAAUUCAUCUCCGGGGGUAGAGCACUGUUUCGGCUAGGGGGUCAUCCCGACUUACCAACCCGAUGCAAACUGCGAAUACCGGAGAAUGUUAUCACGGGAGACACACGGCGGGUGCUAACGUUCGUCGUGAAGAGGGAAACAACCCAGACCGCCGGCUAAGGUCCCAAAGUCAUAAUUAAGUGGGAAACGAAGUGGGAAGGCUCAGACAGCCAGGAUGUUGGCUUAGAAGCAGCCAUCAUUUAAAGAAAGCGUAAUAGCUCACUGGUCGAGUCGGCCUGCGCGGAAGAUGUAACGGGGCUAAAUUAUGCACCGAAGCCGCGGCAGCGAUAUGUAAAUAUUGUUGGGUAGGGGAGCGUUCUGUAAGCCUGUGAAGGUGACCUGUGAGGGUUGCUGGAGGUAUCAGAAGUGCGAAUGCUGACAUAAGUAACGAUAAUGCGGGUGAAAAACCCGCACGCCGGAAGACCAAGGGUUCCUGUCCAACGUUAAUCGGGGCAGGGUGAGUCGACCCCUAAGGCGAGGCUGAAAAGCGUAGUCGAUGGGCAACGGGUUAAUAUUCCCGUACUGGUGGUAACUGCGAAGGGGGGACGGAGAAAGCUAAAUCAUCCGGGCGACGGUUGUCCCGGUUUAAGCGUGCAGGUGGACUGACCAGGCAAAUCCGGUCGGUUGUUAACACUGAGGCGUGACGACGAGCCACUACGGUGGUGAAGUGAUUGAUGCUCUGCUUCCGGGAAAAGCCUCUAAGCUCCAGGUUACCAUUAAUCGUACCCCAAACCGACACAGGUGGUCAGGUAGAGAAUACUCAGGCGCUUGAGAGAACUCGGGUGAAGGAACUAGGCAAAAUGGUGCCGUAACUUCGGGAGAAGGCACGCUGGCA